AUUGAUUAAAAACUGAGCUAAAUACCUUAAAGGCACCAGAUCCCAUCUGAUUUUAGAAACUAAGCAGCUUCAGAUCUGGUUAGUACUUGGAUGGGAAACUGGCAGUGAAUACCAGUUGCUGUCGGAU
rnacentral:rRNA from 1 species